AUACCGAACUUUGGAAAUGACCUUUUACCCCCCUGCACUAUUUAAUAGUGUAUUUUAAAGGUAUAUAUGUGCCCACGUGGACAUCAUAAAUAUUGCAUCAUUUUAAAUAGUAAUGUGUCCGCAUGGGCACAUAUAUACCUUUACAAUACACUAUCAAAUAGUGCAGAGGAUAAAAGAUUUUCCAUAAAGUUUGGUAUCG